AUUGAACUCUGGCGGCAGGCCUAACACAUGCAAGUCGAGCGGAGCGGCGGACGGGUGAGUAAUGCCUAGGAAUCUGCCUGGUAGUGGGGGAUACCGUCCGGAAACGGGCGCUAAUACCGCAUCCUAUCAGAUGAGCCUAGGGCGGAUUGGCUAGUUGGUGGGGUAAAGGCCUAACAAGGCGACGAUCCGUAACUGGUCUGAUAGGAUGAUCAGUCACACUGGAACUGCGAGACGGUCCAGACUCCUACGGGAGGCAGCAGUGGGGAAGAUUGGACAAUGGGCGAAAGCCUGAUCCAGCCAUGCCGCGUGUGUGAAGAAGUUCUUCGGAUUGUAAAGCACUUUAAGUUGGGAGGCGUUACCAACAGAAUAAGCACCGGCUAACUUCGUGCCAGCAGCCGCGGUAAUUC
rnacentral:rRNA from 1 species